GUUAAAAGGGGGCAGAGUGGCAAGCCUGGGGCAGAUGUCUGGCACUCCACCAGAAUUGAUCUGUGUUUGUUUUCUGGAUGUACCCUGCAAUACGAAAAGACAUCAGAUUCUACUAACUUAAUCAGGUUCUAUUAACUUAAGUAGUUGAAAGCUCCUUGACAUGGGGCUCUGUGCAAAAGAAAAUAAAAAGGGGGUAGAAGGGGCUGUUGGUAACCCUAUUAGAGGAAGGGAAAGAUUGCAUCAGGUUCUGGGCAACAGCGACUCGCUGGCAUAUAGGGGGUAUAAGGCAUUUCUGGAGGCAGAGGGGCAUAUAGGUGGUUAAAAGCAGGCAGAGUGGCAAGUCUGGGGCAGAUGUGCAUAACUGGGGGGGGCAGGUUGGCAAAUAAAAGGAAAUAAAAACAAAAACAAAAAA